ensembl:lncRNA
AUGGUUUUUAUCUGAACAAGAUCAGAAGAAUUGGCUUGUUGAAUUGAGUGACUCCAAGGUGGACUUUUCCAGUAACUGAUAGCAGUGAGCCUUUGGCGUCCCAGCGGUGCCUAGCUGGCAUCACUCAGGUGGGUUCUGGAGGACUAGUUUACCACUGAGCCUACUGAGAGGCUGGGGAUGGCAAGGGGGGGCUCUGAUCAACAACCCAACUCAGUGUCUCAAUGCCUGUAACCCAGCAUUUGUUAGACCGUGUGAUGUCACAAUGGCUAGAGUGAAGAAUGACCUGCUAAGUACUACUGUAGAGGUCAUUAUCCUUCACAUGUCACAAUAAGAUGAAGAAUGACCUGUUAAGAACUACUGUAGAGGUCAUUAUCCUUCACAUGUCACAAUAAGAUGAAGAAUGACCUGCUAAGAACUACUGUAGAGGUCAUUAUCCUUCACAUGUCACAAUCAGAUGAAGAAUGAGCUGUUAAGUACUACUGUAGGGGUCAUUAUCCUUCACGUGUCACAAUAAGGUGAAGAAUGUUCCAUUUGCCUGGGGGCCCCCAGCUCCACUAAAACCAUUGACAUCUGCGUGCCGUUUUUCAAGGGGUUAUUAAAUACAUGUUAUAACUAUUUCUUUAUAAUAUUAUAAU